GCAUCCGUAGCCGGUUGCAUAAGUUUUCGGUUAAAUCUAUGCGCUCAACGUAUAGGCCGCCGAAAAUACUGUGCAGCUAGGGAGUGGGAGAGGUACACGGUACUCAGUAGGAAGGGGUAAAAUCCUUUGAUCUAUUGAUGACCACCUGUGGCGAAGGCGGUGUACCAGAACACGUUCGACGGUGAGGGAUGAAAGCUGGGGGAGCAAACCGGAUUAGAUACCCGGGUAGUCCCAGCUGUAAACGAUGCAGACUCGGUGAUGCAUUGGCUUGUGGCCAAUGCAGUGCCGCAGGGAAGCCGUUAAGUCUGCCGCCUGGGAAGUACGUACGCAAGUAUGAAACUUAAAGGAAUUGGCGGGGGAGCACAAGC
rnacentral:rRNA from 2 species